rnacentral:rRNA from 1 species
UACGUAGGGGGCUAGCGUUGUCCGGAAUCAUUGGGCGUAAAGAGCGUGUAGGCGGUCCGGUAAGUCCGCUGUGAAAGUCGGGGGCUCAACCCUCGAAUGCCGGUGGAUACUGUCGGGCUAGAGUACGGAAGAGGCGAGUGGAAUUCCUGGUGUAGCGGUGGAAUGCGCAGAUAUCAGGAGGAACACCAAUAGCGAAGGCAGCUCGCUGGGACGGUACUGACGCUAAGGCGCGAAAGCGUGGGGAGCGAACAGG